AGGAUCGUGAAUGCUGGAAGAUUGACAGCUCUGGGAAGAGCGCCAUCUCUCAAGUGCACACUUUAGGAGUAGCAUAUAGAACACAUGCCAAGCAUCAACCAUGUCUUGGAAGAUGGAAGAGAAUAAGAGCUGGACCCUGCCCUCAAGGAAACUAUGAUCAGCACAAAUGAUGCAUUAUUAGGAGACCUCCUUCCCACCAAAAUUAAGAUAAGGCGAAUCAAAGGGAAUGAAAUGGACAGAGAACCCACCCAAGGUGUGUGGAACUGGGUGUUUUAUUUGCACAUUCAUAGAGAAUUAUCAAAAAGAGGGAAAUGCUUACAACAAGGGAUUAUUGGUGGACUUUCAUGACAGUGUGGGAACUAUUGAAGAUAGAUGUCUCUUCCCAGAGCCUUUAUAUCCCUGCUUAUGAAGUUGGAACCUUUUCCAGAUAUAAUCAGAUUUUUUACUGUGAGAGGAACCCAAUUUACAAAUUCAAUUCCUUUAAUUUAUUUUGAAGCUCAUGCUAUUAACUAAAUGCUCAAGAGUUUAAAUUAUCUGUUUUUCUUCUCACCUUUGCCCACUUUCUUACUCUCAGGAUAUCACCCCUGGAGACAAAUAAUAUGAUGCUAGGAGGAAGGCCAAAUAGUCAUUGGCCUCAGUUGAGGCUCUGGCUUGCAAACUCCCCCAGAGUCCUCCUAUCUCAGUUCUGCGUGUCUGUAGGACAUACUAAGGAGGUGUUUGAUUUACCCGCCCGUGGCAGAGUUCAGGUCAUGUGAUUAUGAACUUUGUGCCAUUUCCAAAAUGGAAAAUAUUCAGUUUUUGAUGAGAUUAUUAGCUUUCCUCCUGUCCGGUUCCAACAAAUGAAAACCAGAUUUGCAUGUAUAAAUAACAAUCAAGCGCUGAAAUGAUUUAUUUAGUAAAGUUACUGUUUUGGAAACUAAAUCGAUGUGUCAUGUCAAGAUCCAAUCUGCCCUUCACUCACAUGGCAAAGGAGACUUCUCCGGGGUCUACUGGUAAAAAAAAAGUUGGAAUCCUAUUAAUAGUUUACUCCUGCCACGUGAGAAUUACAGUGGAAUCCAGCUAUGAGAAUAAAAGCUCAAAAUAAUGUUUCCGAGAACAUCCUGAUAGUAGCGUGUGCUAUUUCUUAUUGUAUUCAAGACACACAUGAAUAACUCUCCCCCAGAAGAAAAGGAAACAAAGCAAAGGGCAACAUAUUUUCCCACUGUGUAAAUUUCCUUCCUCAAGUAGAAAUAGUUAAAAUUAGAAGGCAAAUCCUAUGGUCAUUACAUGUCAGAAUGCUGACAUGAUGACAACUUCAAAGGCGUGUCGGGCUACAUUUGGCGUGCUCUUUUUUAAAAAGACAAUAGGCAUUGAAAAUUAAGCACUGCAUCAAAGCCUCCCAACUCUAUUGAGACAAGUCUAUGGAAAACUCAAACCAAGAUGCAAGGCUGUUCCUGCGUAAAUUAUGUGGAGGGCUCGAUGCAUGGGAAUUGCAUUGUCUAAGAUGCUCUGGAGACAACAUACAACCCUGAUCUGAGUGGCAUGUCAGAGCUAAUGACUACAGCUAGUAUGGAACCAUCUGCAGCUAAUUUUAGUCAUCCUCAUGGCAUUAAACUAAGACUUGUAAUUUGAAUCAACCCUAUAAAAGCUCAGAGACCUCACUGUGAUGCCACUCAGUACACAGUGGGCUUGGAUAGCUGAUAGUGCCAACUUGAAGGCUGUAUGAGGGCUAAACACCAGAGAGCAGAAUGGACUAGGAGGAAAGGCCAGGCAUUAGACCAAUUCCAGGUCUGUUAUUUGUCAGAUAAAUUGCUUUACAUCGAUUGUUUGAUUUCUUUGAGCCCUAGUUUCUUUAUUUACAAGAUGGAAACAGUAAUAGUUAACUUGCAGGGGGUAUUGAGAAAAUCAGAAACUUGCAUUAUAUAGUGGUGACUCAAUAAAUGGAACUAUUAUUUAUUUAUUUAUUUAUUUAUUUAUUUAUUUAUUUAUUUGCUAUAGCACCUAAUGCAUCCUUUUAUAGCAGAUAUUAUUAAUCUGGGGUCCAAAGACAUAUGAGACCUAAACUCACCCACCUCCCCUGAAAUUAUAUACAAAGUCUCACACAUAUGUGCAUUUUUCUGAAGACAAGGGUUCAUGAAUUUCAUA